rnacentral:rRNA from 1 species
AACGAACGCUGGCGGCAGGCCUAACACAUGCAAGUCGAGCGGGCGUAGCAAUACGUCAGCGGCGGACGGGUGAGUAACACGUGGGAAUAUGCCUUUCGGUUUGGAACAACUCGGGGAAACCCGUGCUAAUUCCGGAUACGCCCUUAGGGGGAAAGAUUAUCGCCGAAAGAUUAGCCCGCGUCCGAUUAGCUAGUUGGUGAGGUAACGGCCCACCAAGGCGACGAUCGGUAGCUGGUUUGAGAGAACGACCAGCCACACUGGGACUGAGACACGGCCCAGACUCCUACGGGGGGCAGCAGUGGGGAAUCUUGCGCAAUGGGCGAAAGCCUGACGCAGCGACGCCGCGUGC